rnacentral:rRNA from 1 species
AUUGAACGCUGACGGCAUGCUUUACACAUGCAAGUCGAACGGCAGCGCGGGCUUCGGCCUGGCGGCGAGUGGCGAACGGGUGAGUAAUGCAUCGGAACGUGCCCAGUAGUGGGGGAUAGCCCGGCGAAAGCCGGAUUAAUACCGCAUACGACCUGAGGGUGAAAGCGGGGGACCGAAAGGCCUCGCGCUAUUGGAGCGGCCGAUGUCGGAUUAGCUAGUUGGUGGGGUAAAGGCUUACCAAGGCGACGAUCCGUAGCUGGUCUGAGAGGACGACCAGCCACACUGGGACUGAGACACGGCCCAGACUCCUACGGGAGGCAGCAGUGGGGAAUUUUGGACAAUGGGGGCAACCCUGAUCCAGCCAUGCCGCGUGCGAGAAGAAGGCCUUCGGGUUGUAAACCGCUUUUGUUCGGGAAGAAAUCCUCUGGGCUAAUACCCCGGGGGGAUGACGGUACCGGAAGAAUAAGCACCGGCUAACUACGUG